rnacentral:rRNA from 1 species
AUUGAACGCUGGCGGCAGGCCUAACACAUGCAAGUCGAGCGAGCGGCGGACGGGUGAGUAAUGUAUGGGGACUGCCCGAUAGAGGGGGAUAACUACUGGAAACGGUGGCUAAUACCGCAUACUAUCGGAUAACCCAUAUGGGAUUAGCUAGUAGGUGGGGUAAAGGCUCACCUAGGCGACGAGCUCUAGCUGGUCUGCGAGGAUGAUCACUCCCGCUGUGACUGAGACACGGCCCAGACUCCUGCGGAGGCAGUAUUGGGGAUCAUUUCAGAAUUGGUGAAAGCCUGAUGCAGCCGUCCCGCGUGUAGUAAGUAGUCCUUAUGGUUGUAAAGUACUUUCAGCGGGGAGGCUUUACCCGCAGAAGAAGCACCGGCUAACUCCGUGCCAGCAGCCGCGGUAAUUC